AGUUGUGCAAGUUGUCCCAGGAUCAUCACACUCACAAGACAGCGUGCAGGAGGAGUUAAGGGCCGCCUUUGCGGCUGAGCAAGCAAGAGGGGAGGGAGGAGAUGAUGAUGAUGAGACACAACCGCCUUCUCCAAAAGAUUUGGUCCAACAAACCCUACUAUCUAGUAAUGGGCGUGCAAAAGAUUCGGUUCAGGAAACCCCAGUAUCCAGUAAUUUAAAUAAAAAGCGUGGGAUAAUGCUAAUGCAGUGAAUAUGGUCUCUUCCAGAGAAGAAGAAAAUUACAUGUGGGUUAAAUGGGAGCGGCCAACUGAUUGGGGAGAGGGGGCAAACAUUCAAAAGGUGAUUGGGCACUUUUUGCAUUUGCCACACCUAUUGCCCACUUAUGCCAAUUAAUUGGACGCAUGUCCCUCAUAGCUGCAAAGAAGAGGCCUGGAUAGAGAUAGAGAAAAGGUGGAUCAUUGACCCAGAAAUUAUCAAACCAGCUAAUCAAAUGAACUGGGCAAUGCACUUACUAGGGGAAUUGAGAAAGAACCGAAGGAGCAAGUUAAAAAAGAAAUGCUACCCACAAGAUGCGUCGAAAGAUGAUGUCCUUAAAAAGAUACCACAUCGGGCUCAGAAGCAGGACUACGACGCGCUAGUUGACUAUUGGUUUGAUUCUAAAACGCAGAUAUUAGUUGAUACGAACAAGAGAAGUCAUGGGUUUUAGAAGGAUAUAGCGAGGUCGAGGCCUAUAAGUUUUGCCCAAACUGCUGAUAAUAUGGCAAAAGAAAGUGGACAAGCAGUGGAGCGUGUAGAUGUUUUUGCAAAAGUAUACCGCACAAAAGAUGGGAAUCCUGUUAGUGAUGAAGUGUGA